GAACCCUUGGCGCAGCGGUAGCGCGUGUGAUUCCAGAUAGGGGCUCUCCCAGGCCCCUAGGAGGUUCCACAAGGUCGUCCGUUCAAUCCGGGCAGGGUUCA
rnacentral:tRNA from 1 species